rnacentral:rRNA from 1 species
UACGUAGGUGGCAAGCGUUGUCCGGAUUUAUUGGGCUUAAAGGGUGCGUAGGCGGCCCUGUAAGUCAGUGCUGAAAUCUCCCGGCUUAACCGGGAGGGUGGCAUUGAUACUGCAGGGCUUGAGUACAGAUGAAGUAGGCGGAAUUGACGGUGUAGCGGUGAAAUGCAUAGAUAUCGUCAAGAACACCGAUAGCGAAGGCAGCUUACUAAGCUGUAACUGACGCUGAGGCACGAAAGUGUGGGGAUCAAACAGG